UACGUAGGCAGCGAGCGUUGUUCGGAGUUACUGGGCGUAAAGAGCGUGUAGGCGGCCGUACAGGUCAGCUGUGAAAACUCGAGGCUCAACCUCGAGACGUCGGUUGAAACCGUACGGCUAGAGUCCGGAAGAGGAGAGUGGAAUUCCCGGUGUAGCGGUGAAAUGCGCAGAUAUCGGGAAGAACACCCGUGGCGAAGGCGGCUCUCUGGGACGGUACUGACGCUGAGACGCGAAAGCGUGGGGAGCGAACAGG
rnacentral:rRNA from 1 species